rnacentral:rRNA from 1 species
GACGAACGCUGGCGGCGUGCUUAACACAUGCAAGUCGAACGGAAAGGCCCUGCUUUUGUGGGGUGCUCGAGUGGCGAACGGGUGAGUAACACGUGAGUAACCUGCCCUUGACUUUGGGAUAACUUCAGGAAACUGGGGCUAAUACCGGAUAGGAGCUCCUGCUGCAUGGUGGGGGUUGGAAAGUUUCGGCGGUUGGGGAUGGACUCGCGGCUUAUCAGCUUGUUGGUGGGGUAGUGGCUUACCAAGGCUUUGACGGGUAGCCGGCCUGAGAGGGUGACCGGCCACAUUGGGACUGAGAUACGGCCCAGACUCCUACGGGAGGCAGCAGUGGGGAAUAUUGCACAAUGGGCGGAAGCCUGAUGCAGCAACGCCGCGUGCGGGAUGAGGGCCUUCGGGUUGUGAACCGCUUUCGCCUGUGACGAAGCGUGAGUGACGGUAAUGGGUAAAGAAGCACCGGCUAACUACGUG